rnacentral:lncRNA from 1 species
CUGACUGAAUCAUGGCUUAUGUUGAUGAGCGACUGAGUAGAUCUGCCAUUCUCCUCGUGGCAGUGCUCGAAGAAUCUUCAGGUUGAUUUCUUGUUGAGUGUAUUUGUCUUUAGAAAUGGAUUGAACUUCAUUCAAGAUUUGAUUGAAUCUAAGUUCCAUUUCUUCGACAGAUUCAUUCUUGAGCAUGAGGAAGGAGUCGAACUUCUGGCAAGCUAUGGAUA